GGGUUGUGAGGUUAAGCGACUAAGCGUACACGGUGGAUGCCCUGGCAGUCAGAGGCGAUGAAGGACGUGCUAAUCUGCGAAAAGCGCCGGCGAGGUGAUAUGAACCUUUGACCCGGCGAUGUCCGAAUGGGGAAACCCAGUGCAAUCCGUUGCACUAUCGUUAACUGAAUACAUAGGUUAACGAGGCGAACCGGGGGAACUGAAACAUCUAAGUACCCCGAGGAAAAGAAAUCAACCGAGAUUCCCCCAGUAGCGGCGAGCGAACGGGGAGCAGCCCGGAGUCUGAAUCAGCUUGUGUGUUAGUGGAACGGUCUGGAAAGUCCGACGGUACAGGGUGAUAGUCCCGUACACGAAAGCACACUUGCUGUGAACUCGAAGAGUAGGGCGGGACACGUGGUAUCCUGUCUGAAUAUGGGGGGACCAUCCUCCAAGGCUAAAUACUCCUGACUGACCGAUAGUGAACCAGUACCGUGAGGGAAAGGCGAAAAGAACCCCGGCGAGGGGAGUGAAAAAGAACCUGAAACCGUGUACGUACAAGCAGUGGGAGCCUCUUUAUGGGGUGACUGCGUACCUUUUGUAUAAUGGGUCAGCGACUUAUAUUCUGUAGCAAGGUUAACCGUAUAGGGGAGCCGAAGGGAAACCGAGUCUUAACUGGGCGUUAAGUUGCAGGGUAUAGACCCGAAACCCGGUGAUCUAGCCAUGGGCAGGUUGAAGGUUGGGUAACACUAACUGGAGGACCGAACCGACUAAUGUUGAAAAAUUAGCGGAUGACCUGUGGCUGGGGGUGAAAGGCCAAUCAAACCGGGAGAUAGCUGGUUCUCCCCGAAAGCUAUUUAGGUAGCGCCUCGUGAACUCAUCUUCGGGGGUAGAGCACUGUUUCGGCUAGGGGGCCAUCCCGGCUUACCAACCCGAUGCAAACUACGAAUACCGAAGAAUGUUAUCACGGGAGACACACGGCGGGUGCUAACGUCCGUCGUGAAGAGGGAAACAACCCAGACCGCCAGCUAAGGUCCCAAAGUCAUGGUUAAGUGGGAAACGAUGUGGGAAGGCACAGACAGCCAGGAUGUUGGCUUAGAAGCAGCCAUCAUUUAAAGAAAGCGUAAUAGCUCACUGGUCGAGUCGGCCUGCGCGGAAGAUGUAACGGGGCUAAACCAUGCACCGAAGCUGCGGCAGCGACGCUUAUGCGUUGUUGGGUAGGGGAGCGUUCUGUAAGCCGUUGAAGGUGUCCUGUGAGGGGUGCUGGAGGUAUCAGAAGUGCGAAUGCUGACAUAAGUAACGAUAAAGCGGGUGAAAAGCCCGCUCGCCGGAAGACCAAGGGUUCCUGUCCAACGUUAAUCGGGGCAGGGUGAGUCGACCCCUAAGGCGAGGCCGAAAGGCGUAGUCGAUGGGAAACAGGUUAAUAUUCCUGUACUUGGUGUUACUGCGAAGGGGGGACGGAGAAGGCUAUGUCAGCCGGGCGACGGUUGUCCCGGUUUAAGCAUGUAGGCGGAGGUUCCAGGUAAAUCCGGUACCUUAUUAACGCUGAGGUGUGAUGACGAGGCACUACGGUGCUGAAGUGAUAAAUGCCCUGCUUCCAGGAAAAGCCUCUAAGCAUCAGGUAACACGAAAUCGUACCCCAAACCGACACAGGUGGUCAGGUAGAGAAUACCAAGGCGCUUGAGAGAACUCGGGUGAAGGAACUAGGCAAAAUGGUGCCGUAACUUCGGGAGAAGGCACGCUGAUAUGUAGGUGAAGUCCCUGCGGACGGAGCUGAAAUCAGUCGAAGAUACCAGCUGGCUGCAACUGUUUAUUAAAAACACAGCACUGUGCAAACACGAAAGUGGACGUAUACGGUGUGACGCCUGCCCGGUGCCGGAAGGUUAAUUGAUGGGGUUAGCGGCAACGCGAAGCUCUUGAUCGAAGCCCCGGUAAACGGCGGCCGUAACUAUAACGGUCCUAAGGUAGCGAAAUUCCUUGUCGGGUAAGUUCCGACCUGCACGAAUGGCGUAAUGAUGGCCAGGCUGUCUCCACCCGAGACUCAGUGAAAUUGAACUCGCUGUGAAGAUGCAGUGUACCCGCGGCAAGACGGAAAGACCCCGUGAACCUUUACUAUAGCUUGACACUGAACACUGGUCCUUGAUGUGUAGGAUAGGUGGGAGGCUUUGAAGCGUGGACGCCAGUCUGCGUGGAGCCAACCUUGAAAUACCACCCUUUAAUGGCUGGUGUUCUAACGUAGACCCGUAAUCCGGGUUGCGGACAGUGUCUGGUGGGUAGUUUGACUGGGGCGGUCUCCUCCCAAAGAGUAACGGAGGAGCACGAAGGUUGGCUAAUCCUGGUCGGACAUCAGGAGGUUAGUGCAAUGGCAUAAGCCAGCUUGACUGCGAGCGUGACGGCGCGAGCAGGUGCGAAAGCAGGUCAUAGUGAUCCGGUGGUUCUGAAUGGAAGGGCCAUCGCUCAACGGAUAAAAGGUACUCCGGGGAUAACAGGCUGAUACCGCCCAAGAGUUCAUAUCGACGGCGGUGUUUGGCACCUCGAUGUCGGCUCAUCACAUCCUGGGGCUGAAGUAGGUCCCAAGGGUAUGGCUGUUCGCCAUUUAAAGUGGUACGCGAGCUGGGUUUAGAACGUCGUGAGACAGUUCGGUCCCUAUCUGCCGUGGGCGCUGGAGAAUUGAGGGGGGCUGCUCCUAGUACGAGAGGACCGGAGUGGACGCAUCACUGGUGUUCGGGUUGUCAUGCCAAUGGCACUGCCCGGUAGCUAAAUGCGGAAGAGAUAAGUGCUGAAAGCAUCUAAGCACGAAACUUGCCCCGAGAUGAGUUCUCCCUGAGAC
rnacentral:rRNA from 1 species